rnacentral:sRNA from 1 species
CUCCAUUAAAGAAGUUUUUUCAAGAUGAUAUGACAUGCCUUGCAGUCAGCCUCUCCAUGCUUGAAGAAUUCUUUCUCUUCCCCCUCAAGGUGAUGGCAGUGCUUGUGUGCCUUAGUGAUACACAGAGCCACCAAAUGUUCCUUGGAGGGGGGGGCAGACAUGUUUUCAGCAGAAGAGAUGAAGAGAAACACAUUCUGAUUGUGAUGAUAGAGAUUUCUAG